ACAGACCAGGCGUGUCUAUCCAAUGUUAAUGCUCAAAAAAACUGGACAAGUGUGCUGGUGAAUGUACUUUAGCUGAGUGGUGAAUCAAAGGAGGGGCCAUCCAUAGCCAAGUAGCUACUAGCAGAGGAGAGAUUGAUUCUUCAUUUCCUCUUGUGUGACCAUUUCUGCGAGGAAGCCCCAGGAGCUCAACAACAGAUUGAGAAAAACUUUAGAACAUCAUAGAAUUUUCCUGUGAAACAGAAAAAUCCAGGGUCCGCCCAGCUUUGAGGAUUGAUUUGGAUUGCAGUAGCACCCAGAAGCUCGACCCAAGAUCAGGGCCCUGUUGUAGUAGGGUCUGUCUGUAUUCAUAGUAAGACAGACCCUGCCUCAAAGGGCUCACUGUCAAAACAGACAAGACAGGCCAAGGGUGGCGAAGAGGAAGGGUCCCUCUGCUCAUUUUCAAUGCUGCAGUUUCUGUAUUAGUAUGAAUUAGCUUCAUGUGGUAAGGGUGGGCAGCUGGUGUGAGCAAAGGGGCAGGCUGCAUUACUGGAAGAGGGUGAGGGGCAGCUGGCAGUUAUAUGUAUAGGGCACCUUUUAAAAAAAGUUUACACAUUUUAAAAAAAAAAAAGGAUUACUCCUCAAUUACAGCAUGACAUGCAACAAAACCCAGGUGUUCCAUCUUCCGCUGAUUAGUCACACAUUUUCACAGCUGUGUCACGUACUGGCAGGUGUGAAAACCCACUAGGCAGAUUUGGAAACAUCCGCCUGACUUGCUUGUGUAACAGAUUUGCAUAUUAAAAAUGUUACUUCACCCUCUGUGUUGUACGAUUCUCAGCCGUACGCUGUGACAUCUAAAGGCAAUAGUUUCAGACCAGAGCAUGGAACUAGCUGCUCUUUGCUGCCACUGAAAAGUACAAAGGAACAGAUGCUGCAGAAGCUAAUGGACUGAAACUCUAGUCAAAUAAAUUCCGCUGAGCUGUUCGCUCAGUGUUCCAUAGCUAGCAGACUUCAAUGAGCCCUUCUGCUGUGUCAUCUCACAGUGCUGGUGCACAGAAGUGGUGGCGUCAGUAAGAGUGAAUUCAGUGACAGAGCUCCCUGCUCCUUAGAGAUAAGGGUUCCCUGCCUGCCCACGUUUAAUAUUUAAACUGAAUUGAAUUUCAGCUGAUAGCGCUCUAGCCCAUGUGUAGACGGAUCCAUGGAUUUAAUGUACUGGGGUUUCCACAUCUUGAUCUUGUCCCUAUCUAUCACCUGUUGGCUCGUUAGCUCAAGUUGUAGCCACUCCUGCUGCUGGGACUGGAGGGCUUUGGUUCAGUCCCUGGUGUAUCGGCCAAGGGGGUGGCUCUCACGUAUGCAACACGCUGAUCUUUCCACGCGAAUUGUCCGGGUAUAGUCAACAAACCUUGACUAUAUGCAGGUCCUGGCAUGCAGGAAUAGUAGGAAAUGCAGGUCCUGGCCACACAGAGUCCUCCAAGGAAAUCCCUUUACAUCAGGCAGGAGCAAAGCCCUGCCAUGUGGGGGGAUGGAGGUUGUACUUCCAGCUCCCCUUUUUGAAAUUGUGCCAGGAAAAGCCACUGUUCUUGGUGAAUGAAAAGGAAAUAAACCAAAAAAACCCACUAAAAGAGAGAGGCACGUUCACCAAUUUCUCCC